GACGAACGCUGGCGGCGUGCUUAACACAUGCAAGUCGAACGGAAAGGCCCUGCUUUUGUGGGGUGCUCGAGUGGCGAACGGGUGAGUAACACGUGAGUAACCUGCCCUUGACUUUGGGAUAACUUCAGGAAACUGGGGCUAAUACCGGAUAGGAGCUCCUGCUGCAUGGUGGGGGUUGGAAAGUUUCGGCGGUUGGGGAUGGACGCGCGGCUUAUCAGCUUGUUGGUGGGGUAGUGGCUUACCAAGGCUUUGACGGGUAGCCGGCCUGAGAGGGUGACCGGCCACAUUGGGACUGAGAUACGGCCCAGACUCCUACGGGGGGCAGCAGUGGGGAAUAUUGCACAAUGGGCGGAAGCCUGAUGCAGCAACGCCGCGUGCGGGAUGACGGCCUUCGGGUUGUAAACCGCUUUCGCCUGUGACGAAGCGGGAGUGACGGUAAUGGGUAAAGAAGCACCGGCUAACUACGUG
rnacentral:rRNA from 1 species